rnacentral:sRNA from 1 species
GGGCCGGUGAAGAUAUGGCGGCGUCUGCGUCUGCAGCUGCAGGGGAGGAGGACUGGGUCCUUCCCUCUGAAGUUGAAGUGUUGGAGUCCAUCUAUCUGGAUGAGCUACAGGUGAUUAAAGGAAAUGGCAGAACUUCACCAUGGGAGAUCUACAUCACUUUGCAUCCUGCCACUGCAGAGGACCAGGAUUCACAGUAUGUCUGCUUCACUCUGGUGCUUCAGGUCCCAGCAGAGUAUCCCCAUGAGGUGCCACAGAUCUCUAUCCGAAAUCCCCGAGGACUUUCAGAUGAACAGAUCCACACGAUCUUACAGGUGCUGGGCCAUGUGGCCAAGGCUGGGCUGGGCACUGCCAUGCUCUAUGAACUCAUUGAGAAAGGGAAGGAAAUUCUCACAGAUAACAACAUCCCUCAUGGCCAGUGUGUCAUCUGCCUCUAUGGUUUUCAGGUGGGUUUCUCUCUUGGGACCUGGCAUUCUGUUUGGGACCAGCAGAUGAGGGCUGUGAGAGAGCUCUGACUUAGUGCCCUACAUCUGCCUUCCCUCUAGGAGAAGGAGGCCUUUACCAAAACACCCUGUUACCACUACUUCCAUUGCCACUGCCUUGCUCGGUACAUCCAGCACAUGGAGCAAGAGCUGAAGGCACAAGGACAGGAGCAGGAACAGGAACGGCAGCAUGCUGCAACCAAACAGAAGGCAGUCGGUGUGCAGUGUCCAGUGUGCAGAGAGCCCCUCGUGUAUGAUCUUGCCUCACUGAAAGCAGCCCCUGAACCCCAACAGCUCAUGGAGCUAUACCAGCCCAGUGCAGAGAGCUUGCACCAGCAAGAAGAACG